UCCCUCCCAAUCCCCAUCCCCACCAACCUAACACGCGCCUUCAUCGCCUCCGCCGUCGUGCGCCAUCCAUGUCCUACGAUAUCCGCUGCGCUAUCCACGCCUGUUUCUCUCCCUGCAAUUGAUGUGCAGCUCACAUCAACGGGAGCCAUCCCUCAAUUGCCUCCUCACCCGCAUCGCACAUCGAGGGGCGGGGGCGAGAUCGCUCCCCUCAAUCGCUUCCUCGCCCGCAUCGCACAUCGAGGUCUCCUCACCCGCAUCUCACAUCGAGGCCUCCUCACCCGCAUCGCAGAUCCAUCACAUCCUCCUGCUGCUGCUGGUGCUGAUAUAUCCUCUCCUCCUCCUCCCUUAUGUGCCUUUGAUGUGAGCUCUCUUCUUCCUCCCUAACCGGCCACGGCAGCACUGAAUCUGAGGCAUCGGACCAAGCCAUGCAAAGGCGGAGGGUCCAGAUCUAGCCACCAGCACCACCGCCAGUCUUGGCCUCGAUGAUGACACCGGAGAGGGGAGCAGUUGAGGAGGGGAGAGGGUGGGGAUGGCUGCAUGGACAACAACAUUGGCGACAGAGGACUUCCAUAUAAUGAAUUCAGUAUUGUUCAGUGGAACAGCCAAGAAGAUAUAAUUAUGGAUGAAUUCAGUAUUGUUCAGUGGAACAGCCAAGAAGAUACAAUUAUGGAUCAUUGGGGUCAUAUUCUUGCAUGUGUUCUGCAGUUACAUUAUGUAUAACAAAAACACUGCAACAUGGUUCAGAUGGAUAUACAUGCUCGCCGGUUGCGAUCCCUUGAUCAGUAGUAGCUUGAAUAAUUGACUCUUGAACGUUCCAUUUUUCUUUUCAGGUGACAUAAGAGGUUCUGCUCCUAUAGGUUGAUUCCUUGGUGGAUGAGAAUGAAGAAAGUUUCUUGGGAGUUGGUAGAUGGCAAUGUGAAUGCAGUGACAUGACUGACAUCCAUGUGUUGGCUUCAGUAGUUAGGACGAACCAAAGAAGCAAAGGAGGCUCUAAGUCCUAAGCUCAUGAUGCAUAUUUUUUAGUUUGGACAUUGAAGGAAUGUAUGCAUAUAUUAUACAUUUUCUCUUCAAAAUCGCUUGAUUAGAAGAGGGUUUGUUUCUCUAUAUAUAAUCUAAAUGGAUUCAUGUGCACCUCUGCAGUGCUCAGGUAUGUUGAGGAGAGGAGGGUAUAUAAUUGUGGAGUUGAAAACUUUAUAUGGCCAAGUGACAUGAGAGUGCUACGCAUGUCUUCUUUCACAUGGUAUUUACACCUUAUAGGGCAGCUGCGGCAGCAGCCAUCGCUGCCGAUCAAGGCCAUAAUGUUUUGCUUAUCCUUAUAUCAGAUGCAAAACGGGGGGUGAUUGAUUGUAUAGUAUUGAGGUAUUCAUCCCUGGACAUAAGUGACAGUCUGACAUGUUGAUCAACUUAAUUGGAUUAUUGUUUUUAAUCUCCAGGUUGCAUAUUGUUACGGUGAGAGUAUGGUCCUAUAGUUGCUUAUUUUAGACCAAAUUAGUUGCAAAAGUUUAACUUGUGAUGGCACAUGUAAAACUUUGUUAUAAAUGUAGUGAGAAGUGAAACUUUAGUAUUUUUA